UAGGGAAUCUUCGGCAAUGGACGAAAGUCUGACCGAGCAACGCCGCGUGAGUGAAGAAGGUUUUCGGAUCGUAAAACUCUGUUGUUAGAGAAGAACAAGGACGUUAGUAACUGAACGUCCCCUGACGGUAUCUAACCAGAAAGCCACGGCUAACUACGUGCCAGCAGCCGCGGUAAUACGUAGGUGGCAAGCGUUGUCCGGAUUUAUUGGGCGUAAAGCGAGCGCAGGCGGUUUCUUAAGUCUGAUGUGAAAGCCCCCGGCUCAACCGGGGAGGGUCAUUGGAAACUGGGAGACUUGAGUGCAGAAGAGGGGAGUGGAAUUCCAGGUGUAGCGGUGAAGUGCGUAGAUAUAUGGAGAAACACCAGUGGCGAAGGCGGCGCUCUGGGCUGUAACUGACGCUGAGGCUCGAAAGCGUGGGGAGCAAACAGG
rnacentral:rRNA from 1 species